rnacentral:snRNA from 1 species
GUGCUUCAGCAGCACCUAUACUAAAAUAGGAAUGAUACAGAGAUUAGUGUGGCCCCUGCGCAAGGAUGAUGUGCAAAUUCGUAAAGCGUUCCAUAUUUUU